CACAGUGAGCUUGCUCUCGGGUGACGAGUGGCGGACGGGUGAGUAAUGUCUGGGAAACUGCCUGAUGGAGGGGGAUAACUACUGGAAACGGUAGCUAAUACCGCAUAACGUCGCAAGACCAAAGAGGGGGACCUUCGGGCCUCUUGCCAUCAGAUGUGCCCAGAUGGGAUUAGCUAGUAGGUGGGGUAACGGCUCACCUAGGCGACGAUCCCUAGCUGGUCUGAGAGGAUGACCAGCCACACUGGAACUGAGACACGGUCCAGACUCCUACGGGAGGCAGCAGUGGGGAAUAUUGCACAAUGGGCGCAAGCCUGAUGCAGCCAUGCCGCGUGUAUGAAGAAGGCCUUCGGGUUGUAAAGUACUUUCAGCGGGGAGGAAGGCGAUAAGGUUAAUAACCUUGUCGAUUGACGUUACCCGCAGAAGAAGCACCGGCUAACUCCGUGCCAGCAGCCGCGGUAAUACGGAGGGUGCAAGCGUUAAUCGGAAUUACUGGGCGUAAAGCGCA
rnacentral:rRNA from 1 species